ACGCUGCGUCAGGGCCGCGCCCCGCGCGACGUCGCUGCCUCGCGGCCCCGCCCCCAGGCCCGACAUCCUCGAAGCUGCUCGAGCUUCUGCCCAGCAACCGGCGCGAGCCGCGCGCUGUGCAGAGGUAGCCGUGGAAGGCGGCUCCCGGCGCUGGCAGGCGGCCGCCCCCAGACCCGCAGUGCCAUGCGCAGGUGCUUGCGCCCGUUCUUCAGUUAGCGAUCUUUUGGUUAGGAACGCAGGUGGACCUGCUUGUUUGGCCAUUUGCAUUCCGGAGUCUGCCUCUGGCCGCGGCCUGUGGGAUGGUCGUUGGGCUUCCUCGUUCGUUCAGAUGCUUCGCGAUUUAGCUUGCUACGGACGCCAGCAGCCAGCGCUUGCAGAGAGCGCGGUCCACUCUGCUCUGAGGGCUUUACAGGGGCAGGCGCUGCUAUUUCCCGGCAUUUUCCUCGAGGAAAUAGGCACAGAGAGGUUAGUCGCGCGCUGAAGGUCACACAGCCGGCGGGUGGGCAAGUCAGGAUCUGGCCCUGGGCCUGCAGCCCUGGAGCUUGGGCCCCAGGGCGCGCCCUGCCUCUGUGGCUCUGCCUGUGGAUCGCAGUCGCAGGCUCGCUCCUUGUGGGGCCUCUAGCCUCCCGGCCUGGGGCUAAUCCUGGGAGGUGCGUGGCAUGGGGCACUGGCUUUGCUGAUGAGGAGACCAGACUUCAGAGGCCGUGUCACCUGGCCUGGGCCGCACAGCUGGUGCAUGCCAAGCUCGCGUGCAGACGAAGCUCCAGAGGCCUGGCUGUCAGGAGGGUUCCUCCCCGAGGACACACACGCAACCUCCUGGACCGCCAGGCUUUAGACUUUUAAAACUUCCAUAUGCAGGAAACCCCACAGGACGCAGCCAGCAUCUCGGGUCAUGGGUGCACCUGUCACCGCAGUCCUGGGCUAAACAGUGAACAGGAGCUCUGUGUCUCUGUGGUCGUUACAGUUGUAGUGAAUGUUCCCUGGGAGAGUCCUCUUCAGAAGAUAUUUGCGGUAUUUUCAACAAAGGACUCUCCAGGAUGGAGGAGCAACUACAAGUCAGGAAGGAAAAGGCUGACAACCCAGUUUUUUAAAAAACGGGCAAAGGACGUGAACAGACACCAUGCAAUGGCCCAGAGUGCACAAAUCAUCAUUUCUCCCAGGAAUGGGGUGCCCGAGCCCCCAGGCGGCUGAACUUGAGACUUGUCACGUAGUGUUGGUGGAAUGCAGAGCAGCUGGAGAUCACCUGCUGCAGACCCGUGCCUGUAUAUUCCACGCUUUGCGCACCUGCUGGAAUUCGGGGAGAAGAACCACGAGGUGUCCAUGACUGCCCUGAGGCUCCUACAGAGGAUGAAGCGGGACUGGAUGCACACAGGCCGGCGCCCCUCGGGCCUCUGCGGAGCAGCGCUCCUGGUUGCAGCCAGAAUGCAUGACUUCAGGAGGACUGUGAAGGAGGUC
rnacentral:lncRNA from 1 species